UGGUGCUUCCAGCAACGCUGUGCUAGAGAAAGGCAGGACCAUGAUGGAGUUUGUCCCCAGAGGCAAUGUGACUUGAAGGCACCACCUGAGCCUUGCAGCAUAACCCAUGGCUGAAGGGUGAGGGAAACUCAGCCAUUUCCUGCUUAGCAGAGAUGGAUCUACUUUUGUACAUGCCAGCAUGCUGAAGAAAAUGGAGGAAAUGGCAUUUUCUGAUGACAGCUCUAGUACCUACCCUGUGGAGCUGUAUGAGACAUGAAGUGUGGCUGCCUUUCCUUCUUAUCCUGUGCAAGUUUUACACAAGUACCUGACAUAUGCUGAGUUCCGUCCCAAUAUCUAUUUCCUCCCUGUGCCACUUGCAUUGCUUCUACAAAGGUAGAUACCAGCACAGAAAAUCCCUCAGCCUUAGUUGUGUCCUACAGGAGAAGAUCUGGUUCUGUACUGUUUCUGUUUCCAUACAGCCUGUCUGAAGAAGCUAAUUUUAAUAUGAAAGGUCCAAUGUAAUAAGUAAAUAAAAAUUUAUCUUUGUGACUAUUUGAAGAAGAAUACAGCUGAAUGGUUGUAUUUAUAAAACUGCCCAGUUCUUUAUGCAGAGAAAAGGAACAGUCACAUCUAUGUAGUCAAUUUAUAUUUUCAUUUCAAAAAAGAUAAAACUUCAUCUAAUAUAGUUUUCUCUUUAUUUUGAGAAAUGUUUGUUUUACUUAAAAGCACAGUCUACAUUUUCAAGCUUUGUAGACUAUCAGUGUCUCUAAUUACUCUGUCUGUAUCUGACAUGAGUCCUCUAUAUUUUUCUAAAAUAUUUUCAUUCAGAGAUUGCAACUAUAAAAUACUAUGUAUAUAUGAGGAAGUUUUUAUCUUGAUAAAAGAGAGCCAGGUCUUGAAAAUAUUAAGUAUUUAAGACUGUAAAGAAAUAUGGAGAGUAAGACUUCCAUAUUUAUGCCCAAGGCAAAAAAUAGAAAAAGGAGAGAUGAAAUUACUCUCUUGGUCCUCUUGCUCUUACUAUAGCAGAGUUCUGUUUUGCCUUUUUGGCAGAGCAAUUUUCCCAGACCAGCACUAGUCACCCCUAGUAAUUCUGGAGGUAAUAAAAAUGGACAGGUUCCUUAUCUAGUAAUUAUACUGUGAAAGAUUUAGACAAUUCUACUGAAAAACCCAAGGAGCUUGAAUGGAAUACCUAAUUUCAAAGGCAUACCCUUAAAGUGAUAAGAAUCAAGAAUAUGAACCAAAAAAAAAAUCUAUGGAUAUUUGUGGAUGAAUUAGUUGACUGUUAUAC